UACAGGGGGUGCAAACGUUGCUCGGAAUUACUGGGCGUAAAGCGUGCGUAGGCGGUUUGUUAAGUCUGAUGAUGAAAGCCCUGGGCUCAACCUGGGAAUGGCAUUGGAUACUGGCAACCUAGAAUGUGGUAGAGGGUGGCGGAAUUCCAGGUGUAGCGGUGAAAUGCGUAGAUAUCUGGAGGAAUACCGGUGGCGAAGGCGGCAUCCUGGACCGAGAGUUGACGCUGAACGGCGAA
rnacentral:rRNA from 1 species